rnacentral:rRNA from 1 species
GACGAACGCUGGCGGCAUGCUUAACACAUGCAAGUCGAACGAUGAUGUCUAGCUUGCUAGAUUGAUUAGUGGCAAACGGGUGAGUAACGCGUGGGAACCUACCUUAUAGUACGGAAUAGCCGUUGGAAACGACGAAUAAUACCGUAUACGCUCUACGGAGGAAAGAUUUAUCGCUAUAAGAUGGGCCCGCGUUGGAUUAGCUAGUUGGUAGGGUAAUGGCCUACCAAGGCAACGAUCCAUAGCUGGUUUGAGAGGAUGAUCAGCCACACUGGGACUGAGAUACGGCCCAGACUCCUACGGGAGGCAGCAGUGGGGAAUAUUGGACAAUGGGCGAAAGCCUGAUCCAGCAAUGCCGCGUGAGUGAUGAAGGCCUUAGGGUUGUAAAGCUCUUUUAGUGGGGAAGAUAAUGACGGUACCCACAGAAAAAGCACCGGCUAACUCCGUGCCAGCCGCCGCCGUAA